ACCAGGAUAGCUUAAUGAUAAUAAAAGCUUUGAUUUUGUAAUUCAAGGAUGGUCUGUUCCUCCUGGUU
rnacentral:tRNA from 1 species